AGCAAAAGGAAGCUUGAUAAAUUUGAAUCAUAAACCUUGGAAAACAAGAGCUGACAAACAUCUCGUGAUCUGAAGAAAUUUGGACCCUUAUCCUGAGACCUGUUGAUGUACUACCUCAUGGACAAG